rnacentral:rRNA from 1 species
AUUGAACGCUGGCGGCAUGCCUUACACAUGCAAGUCGAACGGUAACGGGCCUUCGGGUGCCGACGAGUGGCGAACGGGUGCGUAAUACAUCGGAACGUGCCCGAUCGUGGGGGAUAACGAGGCGAAAGCUUUGCUAAUACCGCAUACGAUCUACGGAUGAAAGCAGGGGACCGCAAGGCCUUGCGCGGACGGAGCGGCCGAUGGCAGAUUAGGUAGUUGGUGGGAUAAAAGCUUACCAAGCCGACGAUCUGUAGCUGGUCUGAGGGGAUGAUCAGCCACACUGGGACUGAGACACGGCCCAGACUCCUACGGGAGGCAGCAGUGGGGAAUUUUGGACAAUGGGCGCAAGCCUGAUCCAGCCAUGCCGCGUGCAGGAUGAAGGCCUUCGGGUUGUAAACUGCUUUUGUACGGAACGAAAAGCCUUCUUUUAAUACAGGAGGGUCAUGACGGUACCGUAAGAAUAAGCACCGGCUAACUACGUG